CUUGAACGCUGGCGGCAGGCCUAACACAUGCAAGUCGAGCGGAUGAAGGGAGCUUGCUCCUGGAUUCAGCGGCGGACGGGUGAGUAAUGCCUAGGAAUCUGCCUGGUAGUGGGGGAUAACGUCCGGAAACGGGCGCUAAUACCGCAUACGUCCUGAGGGAGAAAGUGGGGGAUCUUCGGACCUCACGCUAUCAGAUGAGCCUAGGUCGGAUUAGCUAGUUGGUGGGGUAAAGGCCUACCAAGGCGACGAUCCGUAACUGGUCUGAGAGGAUGAUCAGUCACACUGAAACUGAGACACGGUCCAGACUCCUACGGGAGGCAGCAGUGGGGAAUAUUGGACAAUGGGCGAAAGCCUGAUCCAGCCAUGCCGCGUGUGUGAAGAAGGUCUUCGGAUUGUAAAGCACUUUAAGUUGGGAGGAAGGGCAGUAAGUUAAUACCUUGCUGUUUUGACGUUACCAACAGAAUAAGCACCGGCUAACUUCGUG
rnacentral:rRNA from 1 species